rnacentral:lncRNA from 1 species
AUAUAUAUAUAUAUCAACUAAACAAGGUCUUUUAAAAAAGAAUGGAGACCUUAUCAUCAACUACAAUUCCAUCCAAUUAAUGAAUUUCACAUCAUUGUCAUUAAUACAUUAAAGAUACUCUCUAUUAUGUUGUUAUCUGCUCCAUUCCGAUUGUUGUAGUUAGCUCUGCCAAAUUAAAACAAUUCUAUAGUAGCAAGAUGUGUUGAAAGAAAAAGAAGAAACAAAAGGGGGAAAGGAACGAGAGGGUGGGCUAAAAAAGGAAAUAUAGAACAGCCUAGAAUCCAUCAAGCACACAAUUUAUUCUUUAAGAAAACUUGUAUAUUGUGUGACUUCCCCUCCAAACAUAGACAAGAUCCUUAACCCUAAACAUCAAUUCAUUUUCAUCUCUUAAUGAAUCUAACAAAUCAUAACUUACAAAAGAAGUAACAUAAACUUCUCCUAGUAAGAAUAAUAAUUGAACUUUGAAUUAUUUUUCAGGCCCCAUGAUAACUAAACUAGAAAAGGGUUUCUUUCCUAUUUCCCUCUGAGAUGAUUCGUUUCCAAAUCUUGACAUGCAGGAAUUUUAUGAAUAAGGCACAUUAACAUGACACACACAACAGGGUACACUAAGCUCUGG